GGCACUGUGUCCGAGUGGUCUAAGGAGUGUGACUCAAGUGAAAACUUGCCCUUAUCAAGGGUCUUCUCAUCUACGUUUGUAGGCAGGGGUUCGAAUCCCCUCGGUGUCA